rnacentral:rRNA from 1 species
AACGAACGCUGGCGGCAGGCUUAACACAUGCAAGUCGAGCGCCCCGCAAGGGGAGCGGCAGACGGGUGAGUAACGCGUGGGAACAUGCCCAAAGGUACGGAACAACUCCGGGAAACUGGAGCUAAUACCGUAUGUGCCCUUCGGGGGAAAGAUUUAUCGCCUUUGGAUUGGCCCGCGUCUGAUUAGCUAGUUGGUGGGGUAACGGCCUACCAAGGCGACGAUCAGUAGCUGGUCUGAGAGGAUGAUCAGCCACACUGGGACUGAGACACGGCCCAGACUCCUACGGGAGGCAGCAGUGGGGAAUAUUGGACAAUGGGCGCAAGCCUGAUCCAGCCAUGCCGCGUGAGUGAUGAAGGCCUUAGGGUUGUAAAGCUCUUUCGCCAGGGACGAUGAUGACGGUACCUGGAUAAGAAGCCCCGGCUAACUUCGUGCCAGCCGCCGCCGUAAUAC